rnacentral:rRNA from 1 species
GGUGAGUAAUGUCUGGGAAACUGCCUGAUGGAGGGGGAUAACUACUGGAAACGGUAGCUAAUACCGCAUAACGUCGCAAGACCAAAGAGGGGGACCUUCGGGCCUCUUGCCAUCGGAUGUGCCCAGAUGGGAUUAGCUAGUAGGUGGGGUAACGGCUCACCUAGGCGACGAUCCCUAGCUGGUCUGAGAGGAUGACCAGCCACACUGGAACUGAGACACGGUCCAGACUCCUACGGGAGGCAGCAGUGGGGAAUAUUGCACAAUGGGCGCAAGCCUGAUGCAGCCAUGCCGCGUGUAUGAAGAAGGCCUU